GAUGAACGCUGGCGGCGUGCUUAACACAUGCAAGUCGAACGGAAAGGCCCAAGCUUGCUUGGGUACUCGAGUGGCGAACGGGUGAGUAACACGUGGGUGAUCUGCCCUGCACUUCGGGAUAAGCCUGGGAAACUGGGUCUAAUACCGGAUAGGACGAUGGUUUGGAUGCCAUUGUGGAAAGUUUUUUCGGUGUGGGAUGAGCUCGCGGCCUAUCAGCUUGUUGGUGGGGUAAUGGCCUACCAAGGCGUCGACGGGUAGCCGGCCUGAGAGGGUGUACGGCCACAUUGGGACUGAGAUACGGCCCAGACUCCUACGGGGGGCAGCAAUGGGGAAUAUUGCACAAUGGGCGCAAGCCUGAUGCAGCGACGCCGCGUGGGGGAUGACGGCCUUCGGGUUGUAAACUCCUGUCGCUAGGGACGAAGCGUUUUUGUGACGGUACCUGGAGAAGAAGCACCGGCUAACUACGUG
rnacentral:rRNA from 1 species